rnacentral:rRNA from 1 species
AUUGAACGCUGGCGGCAGGCUUAACACAUGCAAGUCGAGCGAGAGGCGGACGGGUGAGUAAGGUCUGGGAAACUGCCUGAUGGAGGGGGAUGACUACUGGAAACGGUAGCUAAUACCGCAUACCAUCAGAUGUGCCCUGAUGGGAUUAGCUAGUAGGUGGGGUAAUGGCUCACCUGGGCGACGAUCCCUAGCUGGUCUGAGAGGAAGACCACCACAACUGGAACUGAGACACGGUCCAGCCUCCUACGGUAGGCAGCAGGGGGGAAUAUUGCACAAUGGGCGCAAGCCUGAUGCACCCAUGCCGCGUGUGUGAAGAAGCCCUCGGGGUUGUAAAGCACUUUCAGCGAGGAGGCGUGACUCGCAGAAGAAGCACCGGCUAACUCCGUGCCAGCAGCCGCGUAAUAC